rfam:Triticum aestivum genome assembly, contig: Triticum_aestivum_CS42_TGACv1_scaffold_501109_6BL
UAUCUACUCCCUCCGUUCGAAAUUACUUGUCUCAAAAAUAGAUGUAUCUAGAACUAAAAUACAUCUAGAUAUAUCCAUUUUCACGAUAAGUAAUUCCGAACGGAGGGAGUAGUAC